rnacentral:rRNA from 1 species
UACGUAGGGUGCAAGCGUUGUCCGGAAUUAUUGGGCGUAAAGAGCUCGUAGGCGGCUCGUCGUGUCGGCUGUGAAAACCCGGAGCUCAACUCCGGGCCUGCAGUCGAUACGGGCGGACUUGAGUGUUGCAGGGGAGACUGGAAUUCCUGGUGUAGCGGUGAAAUGCGCAGAUAUCAGGAGGAACACCGGUGGCGAAGGCGGGUCUCUGGGCCGAAAUUGACGCUGAGGAGCGAAAGCGUGGGGAGCAAACAGG